ACGCUGGCGGCGUGCUUAACACAUGCAAGUCGAACGGAAAGGCCCUGCUUUUGUGGGGUGCUCGAGUGGCGAACGGGUGAGUAACACGUGAGUAACCUGCCCUUGACUUUGGGAUAACUUCAGGAAACUGGGGCUAAUACCGGAUAGGAGCUCCUGCUGCAUGGUGGGGGUUGGAAAGUUUCGGCGGUUGGGGAUGGACUCGCGGCUUAUCAGCUUGUUGGUGGGGUAGUGGCUUACCAAGGCUUUGACGGGUAGCCGGCCUGAGAGGGUGACCGGCCACAUUGGGACUGAGAUACGGCCCAGACUCCUACGGGAGGCAGCAGUGGGGAAUAUUGCACAAUGGGCGGAAGCCUGAUGCAGCAACGCCGCGUGCGGGAUGACGGCCUUCGGGUUGUAAACCGCUUUCGCCUGUGACGAAGCGUGAGUGACGGUAAUGGGUAAAGAAGCACCGGCUAACUACGUGCCAGCAGCCGCGGUGAUACGUAGGGUGCGAGCGUUGUCCGGAUUUAUUGGGCGUAAAGGGCUCGUAGGUGGUUGAUCGCGUCGGAAGUGUAAUCUUGGGGCUUAACCCUGAGCGUGCUUUCGAUACGGGUUGACUUGAGGAAGGUAGGGGAGAAUGGAAUUCCUGGUGGAGCGGUGGAAUGCGCAGAUAUCAGGAGGAACACCAGUGGCGAAGGCGGUUCUCUGGGCCUUUCCUGACGCUGAGGAGCGAAAGCGUGGGGAGCGAACAGGCUUAGAUACCCUGGUAGUCCACGCUGUAAACGGUGGGUACUAGGUGUGGGGUCCAUUCCACGGGUUCCGUGCCGUAGCUAACGCUUUAAGUACCCCGCCUGGGGAGUACGGCCGCAAGGCUAAAACUCAAAGGAAUUGACGGGGCCCCGCACAAGCGGCGGAGCAUGCGGAUUAAUUCGAUGCAACGCGUAGAACCUUACCUGGGUUUGACAUGGAUCGGGAGUGCUCAGAGAUGGGUGUGCCUCUUUUGGGGUCGGUUCACAGGUGGUGCAUGGCUGUCGUCAGCUCGUGUCGUGAGAUGUUGGGUUAAGUCCCGCAACGAGCGCAACCCUUGUUCACUGUUGCCAGCACGUUAUGGUGGGGACUCAGUGGAGACCGCCGGGGUCAACUCGGAGGAAGGUGGGGAUGACGUCAAGUCAUCAUGCCCCUUAUGUCCAGGGCUUCACGCAUGCUACAAUGGCUGGUACAGAGAGUGGCGAGCCUGUGAGGGUGAGCGAAUCUCGGAAAGCCGGUCUCAGUUCGGAUUGGGGUCUGCAACUCGACCUCAUGAAGUCGGAGUCGCUAGUAAUCGCAGAUCAGCAACGCUGCGGUGAAUACGUUCCCGGGGCUUGUACACACCGCCCGUCAAGUCAUGAAAGUUGGUAACACCCGAAGCCGGUGGCCUAACCGUUGUGGGGGAGCCGUCGAAGGUGGGACUGGUGAUUAGGACUAAG
rnacentral:rRNA from 1 species